UACGAAGGGGGCUAGCGUUGUUCGGAAUUACUGGGCGUAAAGCGCGUGUAGGCGGGUCUUUUAAGUCAGGGGUGAAAUGUCAAGGCUCAACCUUGGAACUGCCUUUGAUACUGGAGAUCUUGAGUCCGGGAGAGGUGAGUGGAACUGCGAGUGUAGAGGUGAAAUUCGUAGAUAUUCGCAAGAACACCAGUGGCGAAGGCGGCUCACUGGCCCGGAACUGACGCUGAGACGCGAAAGCGUGGGGAGCAAACAGG
rnacentral:rRNA from 1 species